rnacentral:lncRNA from 1 species
CUUGACUCACCCUGAAGGCUGCAGGCUGUAUCCCCGAGCUCUGGAGCCGAUUUAGGCGGACAUCCAGGAACUCAAUGCCACUGGGCAGCACGGGCAGAGCUUCCAACUGGUUCUCUGGGAGGAUGAGGUCCUGGAGGGCAUGUAGCAGGCGGAAGGCAUCAUUAUCGAUGGAGGAAAUGAGGUUGUUGGAGAGGUCAAUCCUCUUCAACUUUGCUGAGAGAGGUUAGGGGAGAACAAAGAGAGAAACCAGAACACACUAUCUUUCCUUGUCCAGGUUGGAGCUGUCUCCACACCUUGCUCCAUCCCUCUCAAGAUGAGGGGAUUCUAACCAGCUCUCCACCUGCACUAGGCCCAAACCAGAGGAAAUAACAUAAACCAGGACUCCUUGGAAAAGCCCUCGGAUGCCUCAGUGCCCCUCCCUGGAGUUUUGUCCUGUGCAGUGGCCGUCCAUCUUGCAUCCUUUAGAAGAAGCCUCUUGAAAGCGAGAACCAACAGGCCCAGGAAUCCCUGGAUCCACCUCACCUCCACUUCAGAUUGCUGAGGCCUCACUGCCAGGGAUGCCAGCCGCAGCCUCCAGGAGGGCAUCAGGGAAGGAAAGAGAGCUGCUGAGGAGGGACUUUGAAGCUGAAAAGCAGUGUGACUGCUUCAUUUGCUCCCAUGCCAAGUGACAGCCACAAACUUUCUACUGGGCUCUGCUCAUUGCUCAAUCAGUGAAGGUUUGUUGACCACCUACAACAGCCAACUGCAUGCAGUUCUGCUCUCCACCAUCAGUUCUGGAAAAGCUGCUGCUUCACGGAAGAGAAAGGCAAUUGCUUUGCCCAACCCAACAUUCACUCUCCACAUUAAAGAACGUUUCCU